rnacentral:rRNA from 1 species
UCUAAAGGGUCCGUAGCCGGUUUAAUCAGUCUUCUGGGAAAUCUAAUCGCUUAACUAUUAGGCUUCCAGGGGAUACUGUUAGACUUGGGACCGGGAGAGGUAAGAGGUACUGCAGGGGUAGGAGUGAAGUCUUGUAAUCCCUGUGAGACCACCAGUGGCGAAGGCGUCUUACCAGAACGGGUCCGACGGUGAGGGACGAAAGCUGGGGGCACGAACCGGAUUAGAUACCCGGGUAGUCCCAGCUGUAAACGAUGCUCGUUAGGUGUCAGGAACGGUGCGACUGUUUCUGGUGCCGAAGGGAAGCCGUGAAACGAGCCACCUGGGAAGUACGGCCGCAAGGCUGAAACUUAAAGGAAUUGGCGGGGGAGCACUACAACGGGUGGAGCCUGCGGUUUAAUUGGACUCAACGCCGGAAAACUCACCGGGGGCGACAGCAAUAUGUAGGUCAGGUUAAAGGUCUUACCUGAAUCGCUGAGAGGAGGUGCAUGGCCGUCGUCAGUUCGUACUGUGAAGCAUCCUGUUAAGUCAGGCAACGAGCAAGACCCGUGCCCACUGUUACCAGCAUAUCCUUUAUGGAUGAUGGGGACUCUGUGGGGACCGCUGCUGCUAAAGCAGAGGAAGGUGCGGGCUACGGUAGGUCAGUAUGCCCCGAAUCUCCCGGGCUACACGCGGGCUACAAUGGUUGGGACAAUGGGUAUCUACUCCGAAAGGAGUUGGCAAUCUCUUAAACCCAAUCGUAGUUCGAAUUGAGGGCUGUAACUCGCCCUCAUGAAGCUGGAAUCCGUAGUAAUCGCGUUUCAACAUAGCGCGGUGAA